CCUACGGGUGGCAGCAGUGAGGAAUAUCGGUCAAUGGGCGAGAGCCUGAACCAGCCAAGUCGCGUGAGGGAGUACUGCCCUAUGGGUUGUAAACCUCUUUUGUCGGGGAGCAAAAGCCGGACGUGUCCGGCUGUGAGAGUACCCGAAGAAAAAGCAUCGGCUAACUCCGUGCCAGCAGCCGCGGUAAUACGGAGGAUGCGAGCGUUAUCCGGAUUUAUUGGGUUUAAAGGUUGCGCAGGCGGAUUUUUAAGUCAGCGGUAAAAUCGUUGGGCUCAACCCCAUCCAGCCGUUGAAACUGGGGAUCUAGAGUGUGCGAGAGGUAUGCGGAAUGCGUGGUGUAGCGGUGAAAUGCAUAGAUAUCACGCAGAACCCCGAUUGCGAAGGCAGCAUACCGGUGCACAACUGACGCUCAGGCACGAAAGCGUGGGUAUCGAACAGGAUUAGAUACCCCAGUAGUC
rnacentral:rRNA from 1 species